rnacentral:rRNA from 1 species
CCCUUAGAUGUUCUGGGCUGCACGCGCGCGACAAUGACGUUUGCAACGAGAUUGCGAGGCCGUCAGGUCGAGCUGAUCUUGCAAGCUGCGUCGUGAUAGGGACAGUCGAUUGCAAUUAUUCGACUCGAACGAGGAAUUCCUUGUAAUCGCGCAUCAUCAGUGCGCGCUGAAUACGUCCCUGCCCUUUGUACACACCGCCCGUCGCUCCUACCGAUUGAGUGGUCCGGUGAGGCUUUGGGAUCUGGAUGGAAAGAGCGUUUCGCUGUUUCUGCCCGGAAAACUCAGUCGAACCUUAUCAUUUAGAGGAAGGAGAAGUCGUAACA